rnacentral:rRNA from 1 species
AUUGAACGCUGGCGGCAGGCCUAACACAUGCAAGUCGAGCGGAUGAAGGGAGCUUGCUCCUGGAUUCAGCGGCGGACGGGUGAGUAAUGCCUAGGAAUCUGCCUGGUAGUGGGGGAUAACGUCCGGAAACGGGCGCUAAUACCGCAUACGUCCUGAGGGAGAAAGUGGGGGAUCUUCGGACCUCACGCUAUCAGAUGAGCCUAGGUCGGAUUAGCUAGUUGGUGGGUUAAAGGCCUACCAAGGCGACGAUCCGUAACUGGUCUGAGAGGAUGAUCAGUCACACUGGAACUGAGACACGGUCCAGGCUCCUACGGGAGGCAGCAGUGGGGAAUAUUGGACAGUGGGCGAAAGCCUGAUCCAGCCAUGCCGCGUGUGUGAAGAAGGUCUUCGGAUUGUAAAGCACUUUAAGUUGGGAGGAAGGGCAGUAAGUUAAUACCUUGCUGUUUUGACGUUACCAACAGAAUAAGCACCGGCUAACUUCGUG